rnacentral:rRNA from 1 species
CCUACGGGUGGCAGCAGUGAGGAAUAUUGGUCAAUGGACGAGAGUCUGAACCAGCCAAGUAGCGUGAAGGAUGACUGCCCUAUGGGUUGUAAACUUCUUUUAUAUGGGAAUAAAAUGUUCCACGUGUGGGAUUUUGUAUGUACCAUAUGAAUUAGGAUCGGCUAACUCCGUGCCAGCAGCCGCGGUAAUACGGAGGAUCCGAGCGUUAGCCGGUUUUAUUGGGUUUAAAGGGAGCGUAGGGGGAUUGUUAAGUCAGUUGUGAAAGUUUGCGGCUCAACCGUAAAAUUGCAGUUGAAACUGGCAGUCUUGAGUACAGUAGAGGUGGGCGGAAUUCGAGGUGUAGCGGUGGAAUGCUUAGAUAUCACGAAGAACUCCGAUUGCGAAGGCAGCUCACUGGACUGCAACUGACGCUGAGGCUCGAAAGUGUGGGUAGCGAACAGGAUUAGAUACCCCUGUAGUC